rnacentral:lncRNA from 1 species
GGGAAGUCCUUCCAAAUAGGAAGAGAAUGUAGAAAGAAUUCUGUAUCAAGGAAAUUAAAGGCCUCUGGUGACCACCUUUCUCCUCUCUAGGUCUGUGAGAUCCGCUGAUUCCUUUGCCUAAGGUUCUAAAGGAGAUUGCAACAGGAGGAUAGAGAGAGGUCAGAUCUGGACCAGGGUGGGACAGGAAUUAUGCUAAGCAGUGAAUGAAUAAGAUGGUCUGGAUUCCCAAGAGACUCGGUGCAGGUAGAAGAGAGAGCCAAGUGAGCAUAGGAGUGUAAUGAAAUUCAAAUAAGAAGAGGUUUCGGGGCUCUCACCUGGAAUGUGCUGAGGACAGGAAUGAAUGCGAUUUGAGUAUGCUGGUUUCAGGACCCCGAAGAAAAGUCCAAUAAACUUGUCUUGUUGGCAACUGGGGUUUGCCACUGGCCAAAUGGAAGAAGAAGAUCAAGGACAAGAAGUCAAUUAAUGUCACUGACAGAAGUCAGCAGCCUGCCAAAUACUAUGGUAAAAAAUGUGGAGAGUGGAUCUAGAAGAAUAAAUAGAAGAUAUCUACCACUCAAAUUGAAGUGGUUGCAUUAACAGUAUUCAAGAUACAGCUAUCAUAAUUAGGGGACGUUGGCCCAUGAAUAAACACCAAAAUAAAGUAAAUUGUGUUUCCAGGAGACAUUUUAAAAUGAAAG